AUGGAGCACCGAGGAGGAAAAUCCUGCGACAGCCCCGCUGCGCCUUCACGGAGCCAAAAUGGCGCCGCGGAGGAAGAGUAUGGAUGUCUGGACGGACCCGAUGAAGAGAGACGGGUCAAGAGCGCCUCAUGGGCCGAGAAACCCGCCGAGGAGCAGCCGCGGCUCAACUUCCACAUCCCCCGGAAGAGCAGAGAAAAGAGAGCUCUGUUUCAGUCUGUGUCUACGGACUCUAGAGAGUUUUCCGACGUCCUGCAGAUUCUCUCCUCCAGCUACAAGGACUCUUCCUCCACCGGGACGUUUGUGUACUCCAAACCUCGCCUCGUCCACAGUGAACCGCUGGAGAAAGACGUGAGUGUUUGAUUCCUCUACUGCGGUGCAUUUUACUACAUGUUAUGGGCUGUUUGCCAACAUGAAUUCUUUUUUUCAAAUGGCUGCAAAAUGUAUUGAAGCAUCAUUAUAAGUGAGGAAUAUUAAUGUAGACGGAUUGUUUGUCACUGUAGCACUGAGUGUAACAUCUAAUAGUGGACACUUAACAUGAUGGGAAUUCAGUGUGUUUUAUUUUUUUGUUCGACGCUCAAGGUCAGUGCACACAAUCUUAUCAAGAGAAGGAAUUGCCUCUCAAGACUCUAACAGUUUUUUAGGCUAGUAGUUCAGAUUUUCACUUGCCCUGCCGUUGCUGCAAAAGCUUGUUUUUCUAUGUACAUAUUUUUAAGCACUGAAUUUGUUUGUUUUUAUGAAACAUUAGAUUUUCUUUGCAAGACAGUUUAUCACCAAAAGUGUUUUGCUUUCAUUGUUUUGGACCAUGUAACCUUGUAUUGCAUGGCUCUAUGAUUUCCGUAAUGCGAAAAACAUGGACAGAAUCACAGCAUCCAGUCAUUAGAAUGUCAUUGAAUUUGUUAAAGUUUAAAUUAAUUAAUCAAAAGUAGGUCAGCAUACUUGAAUCAAAACGUGAUAUGGACUAGUAGGGCUGCACGAUUAUGACAAAUCAUAAAUGUCGAUUAUUCCCUUGAAAUUGUAAUUGCGAUUAUUAAUUACGGUUAUGACAGUUUACAUUGAAUGAUGUUUAUACUAUUGUUUGAUGCAACUGAAUGCCGUAUUUUUAUAUGAAAAUAAACAAGCUGAAAACACUCUAACUGAAAAACUC
ensembl:lncRNA